CUUCAGGGAAGUUUUCUUCCAUCUCUGCUCUAUGCCCGCCCUUUCUUGCCCAGUCAUUAUUCUCAAUUAGCUAUUGCUAUGGACAGUCAUUAUCUAUUGAACCCAUUUAGAAACUUAGCCACAGACUUUAUUAACUCCAAGCUUUCAAAGAUACUGACUUUGCUGGCAAGAAGCAUAACCUUUGAAUAAACAAGCCAGGUUUGCUCUGUGCAGAUGCCCAGUAUGAUUCAGUACAUUAUCAAAUUGAAAACCAAGAUCCUUCAGAAGAGUUCCAGGCAGAGAAAAGAAUGCCUUAAGAGGAAAUGACCAGGGAAAUGGGGAAUAAGGAGUGACCGAGAUCACGAGAAUGAAGUAUGUUCAAAAGGAGGAGGUCACUACAGUGUUAAAUGUUGCUGAGCUUUCGAGUAAGUUAAGUUCAAUAAGGUUUCCAUUUGCUUUGCUUUAAAAAAAAAAAAUGUCCGUAGACGACUUUAAAAGAAGAAGCAUCAGUGGCGUGAGGGGCCUGGAGUCUGGCUUUCUGUAUGAUGACAAACGUCUUAUAUAAUUUUCCAUAGUUAAGAAGCUUGCCUAUGGAGGGGAGCAUAAAGGAUUUGAAUGAGAAGAAAGUUUUUCAAUUUCUUUAUCCCUCUGUUUCUAAUAUAUUGUAUGUUCUUUUAUUUAUGGGUUCACUGAUACAGGAAUGGCUUAGUUUGUACUGGCAAAUAAGAACUAUAUAUAUAGUUGGCAUAGUUCUAGUUUUGACAUUUCACACUAGGUACCCAAUGACUAAGAACAGAGAAGUUUUUAUAUUAACUUUGUGUUGACGUCAUAGAAUAAAAUAAUCAAAAUUUCUUUUUUUACUGUACUAUAUUCAGCAAGUCUAGUCAUUGGAAUUUGCCCCCACAUACCUUCAGGCAAUGAAGAGAUUCUUUAAUAGAUUUCCAUAUUAAAGGUAAUAGAUAUUUUAUGAUCUUCAGAAAAUAAAAUGAGAGAAUAAACAUGUUAGCAAUAAAAAUUAAUGGUUUUAAUUAUAAUUUUUCAGUUUUUAAAAAUAGGUGUUGGAAGAAAUUUUAGUAAAUUCUAUUAAAUAAUGUACCAUGUCUCACCUUUAUAGUAACUUCCAUGAUCCUGGGUGUAGAAUUAUAUGAUGUAUGCUGCUUAAUGGAAAACUGUUGUUUUUUUUCUUCAGAGCAUGAAAUAGAUUUCAUCAAUAUGAAGAAAUACAUACAAAUCAAUUCUCUUGGUCUGUAAGCUACAACUAGAAUUAUGUGAAGUACUUUAGAAACUGCUUACUUUUUCAUACCACAAAUAAAAUACUGUGAGAACCAACU
rnacentral:lncRNA from 1 species